rnacentral:rRNA from 1 species
CCUGAUGCAGCGACGCCGCGUGAGGGAUGACGGCCUUCGGGUUGUAAACCUCUUUCACCAGGGACGAAGCGCAAGUGACGGUACCUGGAGAAGAAGCACCGGCCAACUACGUGCCAGCAGCCGCGGUAAUACGUAGGGUGCGAGCGUUGUCCGGAAUUACUGGGCGUAAAGAGCUCGUAGGUGGUUUGUCGCGUUGUUCGUGAAAACUCACAGCUCAACUGUGGGCGUGCGGGCGAUACGGGCAGACUGGAGUACUGCAGGGGAGACUGGAAUUCCUGGUGUAGCGGUGGAAUGCGCAGAUAUCAGGAGGAACACCGGUGGCGAAGGCGGGUCUCUGGGCAGUAACUGACGCUGAGGAGCGAAAGCGUGGGGAGCGAACAGGAUUAGAUACCCUGGUAGUCCACGCCGUAAACGGUGGGUACUAGGUGUGGGUUUCCUUCCUUGGGAUCCGUGCCGUAGCUAACGCAUUAAGUACCCCGCCUGGGGAGUACGGCCGCAAGGCUAAAACUCAAAGAAAUUGACGGGGGCCCGCACAAGCGGCGGAGCAUGUGGAUUAAUUCGAUGCAACGCGAAGAACCUUACCUGGGUUUGACAUGCACAGGACGUGCCUAGAGAUAGGUAUUCCCUUGUGGCC